AACGAACGCUGGCGGCAUGCUUAACACAUGCAAGUCGAACGAGACCUUCGGGUCUUGUGGCGCUCGGGUGCGUAACGCGUGGGAACCUGCCCUUAGGUUCGGUAUAACUCCCUGUGAGGGGUGCUCAUACCGGAUAAUGUCUUCGGACCAAAGAGUUAUCGCUGUUGGCUGGGCGCGCGUUGGAUUAGCUGGUUGGUAGGGGAAAAGCAUAGCAAGGCGACGAUGCAUGGCUGGUCGGGGAGGAUGAUCAGCCACGAUGGGACUGAGGCACGGCCCAGACUCGUACGGAGGGCAGCGGUAGGGAAUAUUAGGGAAUGAACCAUGACCUAGUACAGCAGUGCGGGGGAAGUGAUGAAGGCCUUAGGGUUGUAAAGCUCUUUUGCCCGAAAUGAUAAUGACGGUACCGGGAGAAUAAGCACCGGCUAACUCCGUG
rnacentral:rRNA from 1 species